CAUUCUCAAAAACCUUCUUUGGUUUCUUGACCAGGAAGGCUUUUGGACUUUGGAGGCUUUUGCUGGCCUUCCUUUGUUGAAGCCAGCUCCUCUGAAAUGAAUUAGUGGGGUCUGCUUUGCCUAUCCUUGACGUGAUAAGAUGUUUUCUACGUCUUGGGUUUUGCACUGUUCCUGCUUCUAACCGUCUCAUAGAAGACAAUGGUCAAGUGAUUGCCACUUGACCCACAAA
rnacentral:misc_RNA from 1 species